CAAUCAUUCUGAAUAUGGCUGGCUUAUCCGGAGUUCUUUACCAUUCCACACUGCUCCAUUUGUCCACACAAUAUAGACUCCUGAAGGGGGAGGAAGAAACUAAAGAGAGGAAGAUGCCAUGUUCUGUUUGCUAAAAGCUUGAAUAUUGUGUGGGCAUAUUGUGAAGAUGAUUGGCAGAUGACGGAGAGAUUAUCUCCUGUGACCUCUGCAUCAGCUCCUGCUUCCUGAUCUGCUUGAGGUCCAGUCCUGACUUCGUUGGUGAUGAACAGCAAUGUGGAAGUGUAAGCUGAAUAAAUCCUUUCCUCCCCAA